rnacentral:lncRNA from 1 species
CUUUGGCAUACCAACUCUACCAGAAGAAAUUCUCUGGCCCUAGAUGGGAGGCGUUGGUGAAAAAAGGUGCUAAGAAGCAGAGGCUGCUUUGGGCCUCAACUAGCGUCAAGAAUCCUGCCUACCCCGAUACUUUAUAUGUUGCUCCUCUCAUAGGCCCUGACACGGUGAGCCAUCCUGUAGUCCAACCUGAUUUCCGGUGCUUGAUGGUUAUUAUUAUUAUGGUUUUACAUCUGCAACGAUAUAUUACUUGCUUAAAUAGACUUUAGAUUGAAAUUUUACCAUGUCAACGUUGAUUCAUAUUGCUUAAUAUUUGAUGCUGACUUUCCUUUUGUAGGUUUCAACCAUGCCAGACCAAGCUCUCCAAGCAUUUGUCGACCACGGCACAGUUUCAAGGACAAUUGAUUCAAAUGUAUCCGAGGCUGAAGGCAUAUACAGUGCACUGGAGAAGUUAGGCAUCGACUGGAGCUAUGUUGGGAACCAACUCGAAAUUGAGGGAGUGGAUUCUUUCAAGAAGAGUUUCGACAGCCUGCUAGACACCCUGC